rnacentral:rRNA from 1 species
UACAGAGGGGGCAAGCGUUGUUCGGAAUUAUUGGGCGUAAAGAGCUCGUAGGCGGUCUGUCGCGUCUGCUGUGAAAACUCAGGGCUUAACCCUGAGCUUGCAGUGGGUACGGGCAGACUAGAGUGCGGUAGGGGAGACUGGAAUUCCUGGUGUAGCGGUGAAAUGCGCAGAUAUCAGGAGGAACACCGGUGGCGAAGGCGGGUCUCUGGGCCGUAACUGACGCUGAGGAGCGAAAGCAUGGGGAGCGAACAGG